ensembl:lncRNA
AGCCAUCUGUUUUUUAAGAAGUUAUCCAGUGUGUUUUCCAAAGGAAAUCACGUAUUUGUGAAAAAUUAGUAAAUUUAACUAGUGGUUUGGGUGUUUCCGGUUUUAUUGAGAGAUGGACUGAAGCGUAUUGUGAACUUUUUUUUGUGAUUAGAUAGCAAUAACAACAAAUUGAAUAUUGCUGAUAAUAAGGCCUGUUUGAUAUUCAAUGAAAACCCAUACGUACGAGUUCAUCUAUGAUGGCUUUCACAAUAUUUAUUAGAAUCAUAAAUGUGUAUGUGCGUGCAUUCAGGUAUGGACUCUCCAGGCAGAAGUAAAAGUCCCAGUCCUGUUGAAAAAGAACAAGGUGAAGACGAGUCCAGCAAUGCAGCGGAGAAGCCUCAGCAGGCCGGCUCGGUUGAAGGAAGCCCCAAAGAGAAGUUGUCCCCUCCAGCCAGUCCUGCAGGCCGUUCCCCCUCUGGCAGUCCCCCCUCGGGGAGCGGUGACUGCAGCAGCUCAGACGACAGCACCAGCAGUGAUGAUGAUGAUGAACAUCAUGGUGCACUGAAGAAGUUGAGGAGCAGUGUGGCUCAGAUCAAAGUAAGCAAGGAUUACUACUGUUACUGGCUGUUUCUUUUAGGUUUACAACUUUAGGGAUGGCGGACCAGCGGGGUUGGUCCGCAGAACGGACGUGUUUGGGGGACUGAGAUGCUACGGAUAAAGUUAGCAAGUCUGCUUUAUGAUACUGAGCAGUGAAGAAACCCCUCCAAACCUCUGUACCGACACGCACUGUCUGCUCUUUUGAACUUGGGCUCUUUUG